GGGGGUAUAGCUCAGUGGCAGAGCACAUGCUUACCAUGCACGAGGUCCUGGGUUCAAUCCCCAGUGCCUCCA
rnacentral:tRNA from 1 species